GCACUACUGAGGAGUUUAAUACUAGGACGAAACGAUCGUCCAGUGC
rnacentral:hammerhead_ribozyme from 1 species